CACGUAGGGCGCAAGCGUUGUCCGGAAUUAUUGGGCGUAAAGAGCUCGUAGGCGGUCUGUUACGUCUGCUGUGAAAACCCUGGGCUUAACCUUGGGCUUGCAGUGGAUACGGGCAGACUAGAGGCAGGUAGGGGAGAAUGGAAUUCCCGGUGUAGCGGUGAAAUGCGUAGAGAUCCGGAGGAACCCCAGAGGCGAAGGCGGCGCUCUGGCUCGCAACUGACGCUCAGACACGACAGCAUGGGGAGCGAACGGG
rnacentral:rRNA from 1 species